rnacentral:rRNA from 1 species
UACGGGGGAUGCAAGCGUUAUCCGGAUUUAAUGGGUUUAAAGGGAGCGUAGGUGGAUUGUUAAGUCAGUUGUGAAAGUUUGCGGCUCAACCGUAAAAUUGCAGUUGAAACUGGCAGUCUUGAGUACAGUAGAGGUGGGCGGAAUUCGUGGUGUAGCGGUGAAAUGCUUAGAUAUCACGAAGAACUCCGAUUGCGAAGGCAGCUCACUGGACUGCAACUGACACUGAGGCUCGAAAGUGUGGGUAUCAAACAGG